AAGUCGUAACAAGGUUUCCGUAGGUGAACCUGCGGAAGGAUCAUUAUUGAAUAAACCUGGUGGGGUUGUCGCUGGCCUCUCCGGAGGCAUGUGCACGCCCUGUCAUCUUUAUAUCUCCACCUGUGCACCCUUUGUAGACUUGGAACUUGCUAUCUCGUGUUUUCGAGGCGUGAGGAUUUGGUGUUGCGCACCCGCGCCGCCUGUCCUUGAGGUUUCCCAAGGCCUACGUUUUUUUCAUAUACUCCAACGAAUGUAAUAGAAUGUGUAAACGGGUCUUUGUACCUAUAAAACUUUAUACAACUUUCAGCAACGGAUCUCUUGGCUCUC
rnacentral:misc_RNA from 1 species